rnacentral:rRNA from 1 species
AUUGAACGCUGGCGGCAUGCCUUACACAUGCAAGUCGAACGGUAACGCGGGGCAACCCGGCGACGAGUGGCGAACGGGUGAGUAAUACAUCGGAACGUGCCCAGUAGUGGGGGAUAGCCCGGCGAAAGCCGGAUUAAUACCGCAUACGACCUACGGGUGAAAGCGGGGGAUCGCAAGACCUCGCGCUAUUGGAGCGGCCGAUGUCAGAUUAGCUAGUUGGUGGGGUAAAGGCCUACCAAGGCGACGAUCUGUAGCUGGUCUGAGAGGACGACCAGCCACACUGGGACUGAGACACGGCCCAGACUCCUACGGGAGGCAGCAGUGGGGAAUUUUGGACAAUGGGGGCAACCCUGAUCCAGCCAUGCCGCGUGCGGGAAGAAGGCCUUCGGGUUGUAAGCCGCUUUUGUCGGGGAAGAAACGGUCUGCGCUAAUACCGCGGGCUAAUGACGGUACCCGAAGAAUAAGCACCGGCUAACUACGUGCCAGCAGCAGCCGCCGUAA